rnacentral:lncRNA from 1 species
UAUGGUUGUGUGUAAGUGUUUUACAGCGGGAUGGAGAUGAGUGUCAUAUUUUCGUGACAGAAUGGAAGAGAGAAGAUCGGCUACUGCUGUGUGUGCGAUCCGCGACUGGUUAAGAGGAUGACUGAGAGUCGCGAUAUGAAGAAGCAGCAGCGGCUACUUGUGACGAGGUUCGUUCAUAGGGGUGUUCGGACGGUUUUAUAAAGAUGAAGGAGAGAAAGUUGAUGGGUGUUCUUUGGUUGUUGAAGAAAGAAGAUGAAAAAGCUUAAAGUUUCUUUGUCCAAAACCCGAAGAAGAAGCAAAAUAGGAGGUCGUUUCUUCAGGUCUUCGAUAGCCUCGCUUCAGUCCGACAUGAAGAGGACGAAAUCAAAAGGGGGGAAUGGCCUGUGUUGUAUAUUCGACUGCUUAGGGGUCUUGAAGCUUAGUGAGAAGUGGACCUUGCUUCUUCAACUGAAGAAGAACUAGUCACGUUGGGAGUGGGUCGUUUUUUGUGCACUGUUGCGGCUGCU